GACGAACGCUGGCGGCGUGCUUAACACAUGCAAGUCGAACGGAAAGGCCCUGCUUUGGUGGGGUGCGCGAGUGGCGAACGGGUGAGUAACACGUGAGUAACCUGCCCUUGACUUUGGGAUAACGUCAGGAAACUGGGGCAAAUACCGGAUAGGAGCUCUGGCUUCAGGGUGGGGGUUGGAAAGUUUCGGCGGUUGGGGAUGGACUCGCGGCUUAUCAGCUUGUUGGUGGGGUAGUGGCUUACCAAGGCUUUGACGGGUAGCCGGCCUGAGAGGGUGACCGGCCACAUUGGGACUGAGAUACGGCCCAGACUCCUACGGGAGGCAGCAGUGGGGAAUAUUGCACAAUGGGCGGAAGCCUGAUGCAGCAACGCCGCGUGCGGGAUGACGGCCUUCGGGUUGUAAACCGCUUUCGCCUGUGACGAAGCGUGAGUGACGGUAAUGGGUGAAGAAGCACCGGCUAACUACGUG
rnacentral:rRNA from 1 species